GACGAACGCUGGCGGUAUGCUUAAGACAUGCAAGUCGCACGGACCCGCAAGGGUCAGUGGCGGACGGGUGAGUAACACGUGGAUAACCUGCCCGACUCCCCGGGAUAACAGGCCGAAAGGCCUGCUAAUACCGGGUAAGCUCACGGGGCCGCAUGGCCCUGGGAGAAAAGGCCCUGCAAGGGGUUGGGGACGGAGGGGUCCGCGGUCCAUUAGCUAGUUGGAGGGGUAACGGCCCACCAAGGCGACGAUGGAUAGCCGGCCUGAGAGGGCGACCGGCCACACUGGGACUGAGACACGGCCCAGACUCCUACGGGAGGCAGCAGUCGGGAAUUUUGGGCAAUGGCCGAAAGGGCUGACCCAGCAAUACCGCGUGAGUGAAGAAGGCCUUCGGGUUGUAAAGCUCUGUUGCUCGUGAAGAACGGUACUGUGAGGAAAUGCGCAGUACUUGACGGUAGCGAGUGAGGAAGCCCCGGCUAACUACGUGCCAGCAGCCGCGGUAAUACGUAGGGGGCGAGCGUUGUCCGGAUUUAUUGGGCGUAAAGGGCGUGUAGGCGGCCUGUUAAGUCGGGAGUGAAACUCCGCAGCUCAACUGCGGACCUGCUUCCGAUACUGGCGGGCUUGAGUACUCUAGAGGGCAGUGGAAUUCCCGGUGUAGCAGUGAAAUGCGUAGAGAUCGGGAGGAACACCAGUGGCGAAGGCGGCUGCCUGGGGAGAAACUGACGCUGAGGCGCGAAAGCUGGGGGAGCAAACGGGAUUAGAUACCCCGGUAGUCCCAGCCGUAAACGAUGAGUGCUAGGUGUAGGGGGUAUCGACCCCUCCUGUGCCGCAGUUAACGCAAUAAGCACUCCGCCUGGGGAGUACGGCCGCAAGGUUG
rnacentral:rRNA from 1 species